rnacentral:lncRNA from 1 species
AACUGUAAAAUCACUCAAAACCAACCAAAAAACAUUGACAAAUAACUGAUUAUAUAUCCAACGGAUGUAAUCCAAAAAAAACGAGAAAAAAGAGACCAAAAAUAUGGUAAAAUACAAUAAAACUGUAAAAUCACUCAAAACCAACCAAAAAACAUUGACAAAUAACUGAUUAUAUAUCCAACGGAUGUAAUCCAAAAAAAACGAGAAAAAAGAGACCAAAAAUAUGGUAAAAUACAAUAAAACUGUAAAAUCACUCAAAACCAACCAAAAAACAUUGACAAAUAACUGAUUAUAUAUCCAACGGAUGUAAUCCAAAAAAAACGAGAAAAAAGAGACCAAAAAUAUGGUAAAAUACAAUAAAACUGUAAAAUCACUCAAAACCAACCAAAAAAACAUUGACAAAUAACUAAUUAUAGUUACAACCAUCAAAGGAUAAAUAAGACAAAAGACCGAAAAUUGACGAAAUACAAUAAAACUAUGUAAAAUUCACUCAAAACGAGAAAAACGUUGAUAAAUAACUGAUAACAUAUCCAAAAGAUGUAAUUAAAGGAUAAAUGAGACAAAAGGCCUAGAAUAUGUUAAAAUACAAUAAAAACUGUGAAAAUGUACUCUAAUACGUAAAAAUCCGUCAAAAAAACGCUGACAAAUAACUGAUUUCGAGUUGUAAAACCAAAAAAUUUUUAAAGCAAAGAGUGAAAAACGAGUAAAACCAAUGAAGAAACAUUGACAAAUAACUGAUUAUAUAUUCGACAGACAUAAUCAGACAAACAAGUAAAAAAAACCGACAACCAGUGAAAUAUGUUAAAAUAUACAUAUACAGGGUGAAGGGAAAAGAGUACAUCUAAAAAAGGUCGUUGUGAAAAAUUAUAUAUUCAGACCAGUGUGGUGGUGGUAUGAGAUACAUUGCAUGUACUGAUGGUAAAAACCACUUACAUAGACGAAUAGGAGAUAGACUUUUAGGUAAACCUUAUUCCCAUUAUGAGAGAAAAGUAUUCAAAUCAGAGUGGAUACAUUCGAGAAGAGUGUUCUGUACAGGUAUACACAAAGAAAUUUCUAAUAUACAAAGAAAAAUAUACAUCAGAUCAUGAACUACACAUUAAAUCAACCUACAAGUGUGAAAGAGGGGUGAAGAAAGAAAGACAUACAAA